CCUACGGGAGGCAGCAGUGGGGAAUAUUGCACAAUGGGGGAAACCCUGAUGCAGCGACGCCGCGUGAGUGAAGAAGUAAUUCGUUAUGUAAAGCUCUAUUAGCAGGGAAGAAAAUGACGGUACCUGAGUAAUAAGCCCCGUCUAACUACGUGCAAGCAACCGCGGGAACACGUAGGGGGCAAGCGUUAUCCGGAUUUACUGGGUGUAAAGGGAGCGUAGGCGGCAGUGCAAGUCUGGAGUGAAAGGCGGGGGCACAACCCGCGGACUGCUCUGGAAACUGUACGGCUGGAGUGCAGGAGAGGUAAGUGGAAUUCGUGGUGUAGCGGUGAAAUGCGUAGAUAUUAGGAGGAACACCAGUGGCGAAGGCGGCUUACUGGACUGUAACUGACGUUGAGGCUCGAAAGCGUGGGGAGCAAACAGGAUUAGAUACCCUAGUAGUC
rnacentral:rRNA from 1 species